GCAAAUAGCCUCGACUUUUCUA
rnacentral:snRNA from 1 species